CGAUCCUUUAGACCUUCGGA
rnacentral:snRNA from 1 species